rnacentral:misc_RNA from 1 species
UCACAGUUUGCACUGGCAGUCUUGUUAGAAUUUCCUCUGCAUGUCAAGCCCAGGUAAGGUUCUUCGCGUUGCCUCGAAUUAAACCACACGCUCCGCUGCUUGUGCGGGCCCCCGCCUAUUCCUUUGAGUUUUAACCUUGCGGCCGUAGUCCCCAGGCGGUGAACUUAAUGCGUUAGCUGCGGCACUGAUCGGGUCAAUCCGACCAACACCUAGUUCACAACGUUUAGGGCGUGGACUAC